UAACAAGGAUUCCCCUAGUAACUGCGAGUGAAGAGGGAAAAGCUCAAAUUUAAAAUCUGGCAGCUUUGGCUGUCCGAGUUGUAAUCUGGAGAAGUGUUUUCAGUGCAGGACCGUGUACAAGUCUCUUGGAAUGGAGCAUCAUAGAGGGUGAGAAUCCCGUCUUUGACACGGACUACCUGUGCUUUGUGAUACACUCUCAAAGAGUCGAGUUGUUUGGGAAUGCAGCUCAAAAUGGGUGGUAAAUUCCAUCUAAAGCUAAAUAUUGGCGAGAGACCGAUAGCGAACAAGUACCGUGAGGGAAAGAUGAAAAGCACUUUGGAAAGAGAGUUAAACAGUACGUGAAAUUGUUGAAAGGGAAACGCUUGAAGUCAGUCGCGUUUGUUAGAACUCAGCUUGGCUUUUGCUUAGUGUAUUUUCUAAUGAACGGGCCAACAUCGAUUUCAGUCAGUGGAUAAGGGUAAGGGGAAUGUGGCACCUUCGGGUGUGUUAUAGCCUCUUAUCGUAUACAUUUACUGGGAUCGAGGACUGCAGCACUUGUGCUUAGGAUGUUGGCAUAAUGGCUUUAAUCGAC
rnacentral:rRNA from 1 species